rnacentral:lncRNA from 1 species
AACUUGUUUAAUUUAACAAAGUUCUUAUAAAAUUUAAAAAAGUUAUCUUAGGUAACUUGCAAUAACACCCAAGAAACUUGUUUAAUUUAACAAAGUUCUUGUAAAAUUUCAAAUCAAGUCAGCUUCGCGAAGACGGCUUUCGUUACCCUUCGUCAUUGAUUGUAUUGAGCUGAAACUGAAAAGUCGGCAGUGCUUUAUUGUGAUUUUUUAUUUCUUUGGUGAUUUUUUAAUUAAAAUAGGAGUUAAAGCGGGCGAAAACGAUAUUCGUUUGUUCAACUUAGAUUUGACGUUGCAUCAAAUUUUAGAUGAGUGGCCGCUGUACAAAUACUCCAAGGCUCCUGAAUUGGUUGACAUUGACUAUAAUGACAGUUUCCCGGGAAAUGGGCUAAAUUUUUCAAAUUGGAAUCAUUUGUGUACAAUCGCUUCGGAUCUGUUUGAGUAAAGGAUAAAAGAUCCACAAACCAAGCAGCUUAAAAGCCGGGUAUUCGGAAAGAAAGACGUAUUAAAUAUAGACAAUUUCAACAUAUAUAUUAUGAUGUUGUUGCAUGCGGUUUUAUUGCCUACUGCAAAAAAUUUACAUGGGCGUCACAAAAUGCCUUCAC